CCCCGCCCCCCCCCCCAUUUUGCAUUUUGAAAUGCUCCCGAUUUCUGAAAUCUCAAGGUUGGCAAGUAUGCACACAGUCACAUGAAAGCCACCCCUUUAAUGCAGAUGUAUUUUCUGAUUUCUACAUUCUGUUCUUGUUGUUUGUGGUACUUUUUUCAGAUUGAUGUACAGAGUACUUUAGUGCAGGGGCAUGAGGUAGAGAUUGAAAAUUUACAUGAUGAAGACCUUACCUGCCUCCUUUACCCAACAAAUAUACUCAACUGCUCCUGGUCAUUCAACACCGUACAGCAGGAUACUCAGCUCUUUGUCAACAUCAGCAUCUGUGAUGGUAACAAAUCAGUUCAGUCUCCUGACCUGUCGUCUAAGGAGAAAGUCGGAUCAAGGUCUUUAGCUCUGCACGAUCACAAGAUGUCACUUUUAAUCUUACACUUCAACUUCACCCUGCACGGCGAGUGGACAGUCUACGCCUCCAAAUACGACCUCAACAUGCUAGAGGUCCUGUCUCCACCCCAAAACAUCUCUGCAUCAAUCAAAGAUGGAGGUCUAUUGCUGACAUGGGGUUCGCCCCACAGUAGAGCCGACACCGACCCCUCCUGCUUUGAAUACCAGCUGGACAUGGGUGACCAGGUACAGUGAACAUGUGUGUAUGGAUGUCA